rnacentral:lncRNA from 1 species
AAGCUUUGGCUUUUGGUCUUAUCCCAGAUGAAAUCUUGUUUGGAGGAGAAACUUGAGAAAAUGCCCCAAAUGGGUUCAUUCCUUGGAAAAGCCCAGGAAGCAGGAUAUUGACCAGGUGGCCAUGCCUUUCAGCAGCCCCUGAGACCUGGAAAAGGCCAGACAAAAGUGUAGUAAACAAGCUGGCUCCAGGAGCUACCACUGGAAGGUUUGUGCGGCAUGCAGCUGUGUCCUUCUACCUUGCAGCCAAGCUAUGGGCAAUAAGAGAUGGGUUAAAUAUGUU